GAUGAAGAACGUAGUGAAAUGCGAUAAGUAAUGUGAAUUGCAGAAUUCAGUGAAUCAUCGAAUCUUUGAACGCACAUUGCGCCCAUUAGUAUUCUAGUGGGCAUGCCUGUUCGAGCGUCAUUAAGUCCACUUAAGCCCUGCUUAGUGUUGGGAGACUGCUCCAGCGGCGCUACCCUGUAGCUACCCUGCAGCUCCUCAAAGACAGCGGCGGAGUUGUGGUAUCCUCUGAGCUUAGUAACUUGUUCUAGCUUUCGAGUACACCACUUCCCCUGCCGUAAAACCCUUAAUUUUUAAUGGUUGACCUCGGAUCAGGUAGGAAUACCCGCUGAACUUAAGCAUAUCAAUAAGCGGAGGA
rnacentral:misc_RNA from 1 species